rnacentral:pre_miRNA from 7 species
UUUCGGGGUUCCUGGGUGUCACGCAGAUCUCUGUGGGACCUCCAAAUGAAAGAACCUAGUGGGGUAACCCCCACUCUGUUCCCAAUUCAGCGUGCACCCAAGAAUCAUGAACAGACAA